AGCGAACGCUGGCGGCAGGCUUAACACAUGCAAGUCGAGCGGGCACUUCGGUGUCAGCGGCAGACGGGUGAGUAACACGUGGGAACGUACCCUUUGGUUCGGAAUAACGCUGGGAAACUAGCGCUAAUACAGGAUACGCCCAUUUGGGGAAAGGCUUGCUGCCGAAGGAUCGGCCCGCGUCUGAUUAGCUGGUUGGUGGGGUAAUGGCCUACCAAGGCGACGAUCAGUAGCUGGUCUGGGAGGAUGACCAGCCACACUGGGACUGAGACACGGCCCAGACUCCUACGGGAGGCAGCAGUGGGGAAUAUUGGACAAGGGGCGCAAGCCUGAUACAGCCGUGCCGCGUGAGUGAUGAAGGCCUUAGGGUUGUAAAGCUCCUUUGUCCGGGACGAUAAUGACGGUAACGGAAGAAUAAGCCCCGGCUAACUACGUG
rnacentral:rRNA from 1 species